GACCCGGUGGUGUAAUGGCAACACAAAGGCUUUUGGUGCCUUCGUUCUAGGUUCGAGUCCUGGCCGGGUUG
rnacentral:tRNA from 1 species